rnacentral:rRNA from 1 species
UGGGGAAUAUUGCACAAUGGGCGCAAGCCUGAUGCAGCCAUGCCGCGUGUAUGAAGAAGGCCUUCGGGUUGUAAAGUACUUUCAGCGGGGAGGAAGGGAGUAAAGUUAAUACCUUUGCUCAUUGACGUUACCCGCAGAAGAAGCACCGGCUAACUCCGUGCCAGCAGCCGCGGUAAUACGGAGGGUGCAAGCGUUAAUCGGAAUUACUGGGCGUAAAGCGCACGCGGGCGGUUUGUUAAGUCAGAUGUGAAAUCCCCGGGCUCAACCUGGGAACUGCAUCUGAUACUGGCAAGCUUGAGUCUCGUAGAGGGGGGUAGAAUUCCAGGUGUAGCGGUGAAAUGCGUAGAGAUCUGGAGGAAUACCGGUGGCGAAGGCGGCCCCCUGGACGAAGACUGACGCUCAGGUGCGAAAGCGUGGGGAGCAAACAGG